GGGCUGUGGUUCUCCAGAUUUGGAUGUUUGGUUUGUAUUUUAGAGCUCUCUUCUGUCUUUAAAAGGAUAAUUUCUCUAAGGUGCAGCCAUUUAUCUAAAAAGUACCUAAGGGAAACAUCUAUUGCCUGGUGUAGUGGAUACAGCAUGAUUGCAUGGACAAUUACAGGUCAGUGUCCCAGUGCAGUAGAGGAAGCUAACCCUGGAUUUUGCCUGUUGAUCAAAUUUCUUGCCUUGGCUUGAUUUUGCAAACCAGAGGUGUCUGUCUGCAGCAUCCUUCCCAUGACAUUCCAGGUAACCUCUGUGUCUCACACACUGCUCAGACUGCUGCAGAAACAGGAAAUGUAAAGAUCUGCUGAGCAAGGAGCAGCUGCCUGAUCCAACAGUCUCUGCUGUACAGGACAGUUCUGUUGUCACCUGCCUGGCUGAACCUGCCUUACCAGAGAGGCAACAGAACAAUUCUCUUUGUCGGCAGCUGGAGCCUAGGACUCCUGUAAAGUGUUUUACCCUGCCUGUUUUAGAGCCCCUGACAUUACCAAGAAUAUUCUGGAAGUGGUACAGACAGCAUAGUCCUGAGCACCAGAUAACAGAUCCAUGGGAAGAGGGUGGAGACAAAGGGAUGUGUUCUUUGCUGGAGCUCUGCUCUCCAAAGGGUUUGUUGCUGCAGGAUUCCAAGGAUUUCCUCUAAAUCUCACACCUGCCAUUCACCUGGGCCCUGCUGGCCUCAAAAAUUGCUGUGAUUCAGAUACCUUGUCACAAGGUGUCCUGUGUGGCUGCCUUUUUCUACACCUGGGAAAUCAAAUAGCACAUCACCCCACCCACCCAAGUGCACUCUGUUUUCUGAAAUGGAAUUCAGAAGUGUUGAGCCGACUGCAUCAGAGAACCAGCAGCUCUACAUCAGCCCAAACUUGUUGAUCAGACUGCAAAGGUUUCUGACUAGUGCAUAAAAUGAGGCUGUUCCCUGUAAUUGAGCCUUGUUUUGUCUUCCAGUCACUCAGAAAGCCAAACCCUUUCUGUCUGUCACAAUAAAAACCCACCUGGGAAAACUUAGUUUAUUGGAAAGUUUCACCAAGCAGCUUAUCUCACAGUAUAGAGUAUUUCUUACUACUUACACACUUUUACUGGAUUCUUGAAACUUAUAGAACUGUUUGGGCCUGAGAAAAGAGUAAAUAAUGUCAAUAAAUAUUUUCUUGUAGCAGCACAAGAUAAGGUCAUGCCAGGGAAUAGACAAUACUAAGA